rnacentral:misc_RNA from 1 species
GGGAAAUGGAAUGCUAGCAAUGGCAAUACAAACGUGUGCAUUAAUAAUCGAGAGAUCACUAGAAAAGAGCUCCGGAUACUGAAGAUGGCUGGAGUACCUUGUGAAGGAAGACCUUCGUUUUGGGUUAGUGUAGAUGGAUCCUAUCAGGAAGAAGGAAUGAACAAUGGGGGGAAAAUAUGGGACAAGACUAGAACGAAGCUUGCAUGUGCC